rnacentral:rRNA from 1 species
AGUCGACGAACACUGGAGAAAGAGACUUCGGUCAAUGACUCCUUUGACUUAGUGGCGGACGGGUGAGUAAUGCGUGAGCAACCUGCCUUGGAGAGGGGGACAACAGCUGGAAACGGCUGCUAAUACCGCAUGAAGUUACUGGGGGGCAUCCUUUGGUAACCAAAGAUUUAUCGCUCUGAGAUGGGCUCACGUCUGAUUAGUUAGUUGGUAGGGUAACGGCCUACCAAGACCGCGAUCAGUAGCCGGACUGAGAGGUUGAACGGCCACAUUGGGACUGAGAUACGGCCCAGACUCCUACGGGAGGCAGCAGUGGGGAAUAUUGGGCAAUGGGCGCAAGCCUGACCCAGCAACGCCGCGUGAAGGAAGAAGGCUUUCGGGUUGUAAACUUCUUUUACCAGGGACGAAGAAAGUGACGGUACCUGGAGAAUAAGCCACGGCUAACUACGUGCCAGCAGCCGCGGUAAUACGUAGGUGGCGAGCGUUGUCCGGAUUUACUGGGUGUAAAGGGCGCGUAGGCGGGAAUGCAAGUCAGAUGUGAAAUCCAUGGGCUUAACCCAUGAACUGCAUUUGAAACUGUAUUUCUUGAGUGUCGGAGAGGUAGACGGAAUUCCUAGUGUAGCGGUGAAAUGCGUAGAUAUUAGGAGGAACACCAGUGGCGAAGGCGGUCUACUGGACGAUAACUGACGCUGAGGCGCGAAAGCGUGGGGAGCAAACAGGAUUAGAUACCCUGGUAGUCCACGCCGUANACGAUGAAUACU